UACGUAGGGGGCUAGCGUUGUCCGGAAUAAUUGGGCGUAAAGAGCGUGUAGGCGGUCCGGUAAGUCCGUUGUGAAAGUCAGGGGCUCAACCCUUGAAUGCCGGCGGAUACUGUCGGGCUAGAGUCCGGAAGAGGCGAGUGGAAUUCCCGGUGUAGCGGUGAAAUGCGCAGAUAUCGGGAGGAACACCUAUGGCGAAGGCAGCGCGCUGGGACGGUACUGACGCUGAGACGCGAAAGCGUGAGGAGCAAACAGG
rnacentral:rRNA from 1 species